GUGUGUGUAUAAAAAACAAUCACUUAACGUUCCCCACACGUCCCGAAAAGUCCGGUUUCACACCCUUCACACGGGUGGGGUCACAGGUUCAAUCCCUGUCGCGCCCACCA
rnacentral:tRNA from 1 species